rnacentral:rRNA from 1 species
CGGACGGGUGAGUAACGCGUGGAGAACCUGCCGUAUACUGGGGGAUAACACUUAGAAAUAGAUGCUAAUACCGCAUAAGCGCACAGCUUCGCAUGAAGCAGUGUGAAAAACUCCGGUGGUAUACGAUGGAUCCGCGUCUGAUUAGCUUGUUGGCGGGGUAAAGGCCCACCAAGGCGACGAUCAGUAGCCGGCCUGAGAGGGUGAACGGCCACAUUGGGACUGAGACACGGCCCAAACUCCUACGGGAGGCAGCAG